rnacentral:lncRNA from 1 species
UAAAUGAUACAAAUUUUAUUAUGAAAUACGGGAAGUAUAUAAAUUAUCUCUUUAUUUAUUUGUUAAAAUUCUAUGAGGCAUUUAUAAUUUUUUUUUGUGUUGUAAUUUAUUUUUUUUGUAGAUAGAUACAAAUUAUGGAAUAUUAACUUUAUAAGUUCAAUACAGUAUUUUUAGAUUCUCACUGAAAAUGUAGUUUCCAACCAUAUAUAGAUAUGCGUUUACACAAUUUUCAUAAAAUAUUUGAAUCCACCAACUAUAUGUCUUACAAGAUUUUUCAUAAAAAAAUUAAAAUAAUAAAUAAGUGCACUUUUAUUUC